rnacentral:rRNA from 1 species
AUUGAACGCUGGCGGCAGGCCUAACACAUGCAAGUCGAGCGGAGCGGCGGACGGGUGAGUAAUGCCAAGGAAUCUGCCUGGUAGUGGGGGAUAACGUCCGGUAACGGGCGCUAAUACCGCAUACUAUCAGAUGAGCCUAGGUCGGAUUAGCUAGUUGGUGGGGUAAAGGCCUACCAAGGCGACGAUCCGUAACUGGUCUGAGAGGAUGAUCAGGCACACUGGAACGGAGACACGGUCCAGACGCCUACGGUAGGCACCAGGGGGGAAUAUUGGACAAUGUGCGAAAGCGUGAUCAAGCCAUGCCGCGUGUGUUAAGAAGGUCGUCGGAUUGUAAAGCACUUUAAGUUGGGAGGCGUUACCAACAGAAUAAGCACCGGCUAACUUCGUGCCAGCAGCCGCGGUAAUUC